rnacentral:snRNA from 1 species
GUGCUCUUCGGCAGCACAUAGACUAAAAUUGGAACAAUACAGAGAAGGUUAGCCUGUGCAGGCUAAUGCAUAAGGUGUUCCAUAUUUAA